rnacentral:rRNA from 1 species
CCUACGGGUGGCAGCAGUGGGGAAUAUUGGACAAUGGGCGAAAGCCUGAUCCAGCCAUGCCGCGUGUGUGAAGAAGGCCUUCGGGUUGUAAAGCACUUUCAGUGGGGAAGAAAGCCUUGGGGCUAAUACCCUCGAGGAAGGACAUCACCCACAGAAGAAGCACCGGCUAACUCCGUGCCAGCAGCCGCGGUAAUACGGAGGGUGCGAGCGUUAAUCGGAAUUACUGGGCGUAAAGCGCGCGUAGGCGGUCUGAUAAGCCGGUUGUGAAAGCCCCGGGCUCAACCUGGGAACGGCAUCCGGAACUGUCAGGCUAGAGUGCAGGAGAGGAAGGUAGAAUUCCCGGUGUAGCGGUGAAAUGCGUAGAGAUCGGGAGGAAUACCAGUGGCGAAGGCGGCCUUCUGGACUGACACUGACGCUGAGGUGCGAAAGCGUGGGUAGCAAACAGGAUUAGAUACCCGGUAGUC